rnacentral:rRNA from 1 species
UCAGGAUGAACGCUGGCGGCGUGCUUAACACAUGCAAGUCGAACGAUGAUGCCAGCUUGCUGGUGGAUUAGUGGCGAACGGGUGAGUAACACGUGAGUAACCUGCCCUUGACUCUGGGAUAAGCCUGGGAAACUGGGUCUAAUACCGGAUAUGACUGACUAUCGCAUGGUGGUUGGUGGAAAGCUUUUGUGGUUUUGGAUGGACUCGCGGCCUAUCAGCUUGUUGGUGGGGUAAUGGCCUACCAAGGCGACGACGGGUAGCCGGCCUGAGAGGGUGACCGGCCACACUGGGACUGAGACACGGCCCAGACUCCUACGGGAGGCAGCAGUGGGGAAUAUUGCACAAUGGGCGCAAGCCUGAUGCAGCGACGCCGCGUGAGGGAUGACGGCCUUCGGGUUGUAAACCUCUUUCAGUAGGGAAGAAGCGAAAGUGACGGUACC